CAGUAGCGUAUAUUAAAGUUGUUGCAGUUAAAAAGCUCGUAGUUGGACUUCUGUCGUGGGGCGCGCCGUCCGCCUGUUUACAGUGCGUUGCACGUUUGCGCUUCCGACAUCCUUCCUGAGAUUAGUCUUCUGCCUUCAUUGGUGUGGAGGCUAUGAUCAGGAUCUUUUACUUUGAAAAAUUAGAGUGUUUAAAGCAGGCUUGUCGCUGUGAAUACAUUAGCAUGGAAUAAUAACUUAGGACUUUGGUCUCUAUUUUGUUGGUUUCUAGGACUGAAGUAAUGAUUGAUAGGGACAGUUGGGGGUGCUAGUAUUCAGCGGCCAGAGGUGAAAUUCUUGGAUUCGCUGAAGACUAACUUAUGCGAAAGCAUUCACCAAGGAUGUCUUCUUUAAUCAAGAACGAAAGUUGGGGGAUCGAAGACGAUCAGAUACCAU
rnacentral:rRNA from 1 species